rnacentral:rRNA from 1 species
CUACGGGAGGCACCAGUGAGGAAUAUUGCACAAUGGGGGGAACCCUGAUGCAGCAACGCCGCGUGGAGGAUGACGCAUUUCGGUGUGUAAACUCCUUUUAUAUGUCAAGAAAAUGACGGUAGCAUAUGAAUAAGCACCGGCUAACUCCGUGCCAGCAGCCGCGGUAAUACGGAGGGUGCAAGCGUUACUCGGAAUCACUGGGCGUAAAGGACGCGUAGGCGGGUUGGAAAGUCAGGUGUGAAAUCCUACAGCUUAACUGUAGAACUGCACUUGAAACUUCUAAGCUAGAGUAUGGGAGUGGGGGAUGGAAUUAGUGGUGUAGGGGUAAAAUCCGUAGAUAUCACUAGGAAUACCUAAAGCGAAGGCGAUCUCCUGGAACAUUACUGACGCUAAGGCGUGAAAGCGUGGGGAGCAAACAGGAUUAGAUACCCCUGUAGUC